rnacentral:rRNA from 1 species
UACGGGGGGGGUAAGCGUUGUUCGGAAUUACUGGGCGUAAAGGGCUCGUAGGCGGCCAACUAAGUCAGACGUGAAAUCCCUCAGCUUAACUGGGGAACUGCGUCUGAUACUGGAUGGCUUGGAUUCGGGAGAGGAAUGCGGAAUUCCAGGUGUAGCGGUGAAAUGCGCAGAUAUCUGGAGGAACACCGGUGGCGAAGGCGGCAUUCUGGACCGAUAUUGACGCUGAGGAGCGAAAGCCAGGGGAGCAAACGGG